rnacentral:rRNA from 1 species
UACGUAGGGUGCAAGCGUUGUCCGGAAUUAUUGGGCGUAAAGAGCUCGUAGGCGGUCUGUUACGUCGGCUGUGAAAACCUGGGGCUCAACCCCGGGCCUGCAACCGAUACGGGCAGACUAGAGGUAUGCAGGGGAGAACGGAAUUCCUGGUGUAGCGGUGGAAUGCGCAGAUAUCAGGAGGAACACCGGUGGCGAAGGCGGUUCUCUGGGCAUUACCUGACGCUGAGGAGCGAAAGUGUGGGGAGCGAACAGG